UAGAGUUAGUAGAACAACUCUAGAGGAAAAGCUGGGCCGGAAAAGUGGGAACCUCUAGGGCGCCGCCCUGUUGCUACUGGUCAAUGUGGCCAGCGCAAUUACUAUUGAAAGAGCUGAGAACAAGUACAGGUCACCUUAUGCUUUGUCACCUAAAAACGCAUACCUGAUGGCUUUAUGAAGGUGGUACGUUAAUAUUAAGUUUACAGAAAGCGAUCGCUAAGUCCGUGACUUAUGUAAAUCACGAUGUACGCAUUCAUGCAAUAAAGGAUGACGCGAAUUUCGGUUUCGAAUCUGUUUUUUGGAUGCGUAGUAGUUUCGUUUGACAUGCGAUCGCGCGUCGACAUCGGACGCUAUGACACACUCGUGCCUUAUGUGCCACCGAAGCCCCGAAGUGGUCUGGCAUAUACCUUCACAUAUAUGCAAUGGCAAGCCCUUCCGUGUGUUCCAAAGACAAUGCCUACGCCUAGCCACAGCAGCUCCCACAUACAGACUCCGCAAACCAAGAGGCCGUGGAGGCAAAUGCAGGCAGCCAGCACACCUCGAACAGCCACCUUGACUGCGGGUGUGUCACCCUAGUCGCCAAGGAAACAUUUGAGGGAAAGUGACAGGCAAUGUGAACAGCCACUCCUCCAUGUAAACAAUACUCUUUCUCUCGGAUGACUCCUACGCCUCACCACGCCAGCACACUUGUGCACAAAGAUGCCGCAGAGGCACGUGCAGGUCAGAGGCAAGAAGCAGUGGCACUGGUGUCGACAUUUACCCAAUUUCUUUUUCUUACACUGAGGCAGCCAGCACACCUCGAACAGCCACCUCGACUGCGGGUGUGUUAGUUGAUCCCUGUUGUACU